UCCGAUUGAUCUCCUCCUCCAUGGCCGACAUCUCUCUUUCUCCCUUUUCCUUCCUCCUCUUUUUUCUUCUCCUCUUCUUUCUCACCCAUUUCUCCUCCAAUCCCCUUCCCCCUCUUUCUCCCUCAUCCUUUCUUCUCCUUCUCUUUCUCCACACUACAAGAAAAUAAGAUUUUUAUGAUGAAAUUAUUUGCUCCGAAAAUAUUUUUAUCGUAAAUAUCUGUAUUUAUAAAAAAAUAUUUUCAUUAUGAAUAAUAUAUUAUUUGAGACAAAAAAUAUUUUUUGUAGUAAAUAAUUGAGUAUUUAUGAUAAAAAUAUAUAUUUUCAUC
rnacentral:lncRNA from 1 species